UUGAAACACCAGUACGAUCACUGAAGUUAAGCAACAUCGAGCCUGGUCAGUACUUAGAUGGGUGACCGCUUGGGAACACCAGGUGCU